UUGAAUUUUUAAAAUUAAGAAAUCCGUAAUUUAAUUUUUACUUGCAGUUGCAGGCAUGACUGAUUAAUGAAUUUAUUUUACUUUUAUAUAGAAUAUGGACGGCACUCCAUUACAGCAUGUGCAUGGUUGGACCUGUUGACAUUUUUAGAAACGCAUCUUGGUCUAUUAUACAGAGUAUUGUUGUACUGCUCCAAAGUGCUUGUUGACAGACUGAAACCACUUGCUUGCGGCUCAUAAGGUUCACUUCUUGAGAGCAGGCAGCUACAAAAUGGAAGGUCAACAAAUCCAGUAUACUUGAAAAGCAAGAAAGAAACACCAGAAAAUAUAAAAAGACAGAAGAACAAGGGAACUUUAAUUAAAAAAAAACUUUUGAUAGGAAUUCAGGAUUUAUUUAGAAACUAAAUAUAUUUUGAGGACAGCAGUGUUUGACUAAGCUCUGUUACUUUAAGAGAUAAUGUAUUAUCCCAUUGGUUUUGUUAUUGUCGCGCCCGCUUGCAGAAGUGAAGAUAUAGUUGUCCAAAUGUCUAUUCGGUGUAUGUGCGUGCAUCCGUCCGUCCGGAUUUGUUUGUCCGGACCAUAAUUUGGACUCGAUGGUGGAAUCUUGUUUAUAUAUGGUAUGAAUGUUAACCUCAGUGAGACGGAGUGUCGUGCGCAAGCCCCAGGUUCCUGUCUCAAAGGUCAAGAGCACACAGGUCAAAGGUCAGAUUCAAAAAUGACUUUGUCUGGAGCAUUUCUUCUUCAUGCAUGGAGGGAUUUUGAUGUAACUUGGCACAAUUGUUCACCAUCAUGAAAUGGAGUGUCUUGCGCAGGAACCAGGUCCCUAGGUCUAAGGUCUAGGUCACACUUAGAGGUCAAAGGAUACAAGAAUGACAACUUUGUCUGGAGCAUUUCUUCUUCACGCAUGGAGGGACUUUGAUGUAACUUGGCACAAAUGUUCACCACCAUGAGACGGAGUGUCAUGCGGAAGAACCAGGUCUAAGGUCAAGGUCACACUUAGAGGUCAAAAGUCAGAUACAAGAAUGACUUUGUCUGGAGCAUUUCUUUUUGAUGCAUAGAGGGAUUUUGAUGUAACUUGGCACAAGUGUUCAUCAUCAUGCGACGGAGUGUUAUGCAUAAGAUCCUAGAAUUACUUCCCUUUGUUGUUACUAUAAAUAGCUUACAUUUGUAACUUGUUUAUUACUGGUCGUAGGGAAAAAUCAAGACCACUUUUCUGUAGUACAACAUGCAUGUUACAUCCAAUUUUCAGGUGUAUUUUGACCUAUCUCUGCUGGUGCGGAUUUUUGUGUGGACUUAGAAUUUUUUUUUUAAUUUUUUUUUAAAUUUUUUUUUUUUUAAUUUUACGUUCCUUUGUUGUUACUGUAAAUAACUUAUAUUGUAACUUUUUGCAAUCUCUUUUAUUUGGCAUAAAUGUUUGCCUCAAUGAGACAAGGAGUGUCAUGCACAACUCCCAGUCCUUUUGACAGCUGGCGGGCUUGACAUAUUGCCCGUGGGCAUCUAGUUCUCAUAUUUUUCAUGAGAUUUUAAAGAGAAUGUUCUGUUAUACCCCCAUGUAGUAAGCUUGUCUGUCUUUCAGUCAGUAGGUUUUCAUGGCUUCCAGAUGAUAACUCAUGAAAAGCUUGACCGAUUUAAAUAUUUUUUGGUACAUAGUUACAGGUCAAGUUCGACUUUGGGGUCAGUAGGUCAAAGGUCAAGAUAACUUGCAAACGCUUUGGCCUGGGAUCCUAGCUUUUGUGACACAGGUGUAACAUGAUAAAAUACAGGUUGUUUGAAUUUGAGGUCAAUAGAUCAAAGGUCAAGGUCACAGUGAUUUUGAACAGUUGAACCGUUUCCGAAUGAUAACUUGAGACCUUGAGCCUAGGAUGAUAAAGUUUGGUACACAGGUGUCACAUCUUGAAAUACAGGUCAAGUUUUACUUUGAGGUCAGUAAGUCAAGGUCACAAUAAGGCAAAACAGUGAAAUGUUUUUCAGAUUAUAACUUGAGAAUGCUUGAGCCUAGGAUCAUGAAAAUUGUUAGGGAGGUUGAUUAUGACCAACAGGUGACCCCUAAUGAUGUUGAGGUCAGUAGGUCACAGGUCAAGGUCACACUGACCCGGUUCUUUAAAAUGAUGCACGGAGGGGCACCUGGGGUCUUCCUCCACCAUUAAAACUGGAAAGUUGCCAUAUGACCUAUCCUGUGUCGGUGUGAUGUUAAAUUCAACAAAAUAAAUAACGGUUCUUUAAAACGGUUUUUGGACAAUAACUUCAGGAUGCUUGGGAUGAGAAACACAAAAUUUAGUACAAGGUUGGUCUUGACCAGCAGAUUACCUGUAUUGAUUUAGAGUUCCAAAGGUCAGGAUGACCCGGAACAUUUAAACCUUUUCCAUACAACAACUUGAGAACACUUGGGCGGAGGAUCAUGAAACUAUGGUGAUUGAAUUUGAGGUCCUUAGUUCUUUGAUAAGGCCAUAUUGUGGGGGUCUAAUUCGUCACUCCUGUGACAACUCUAGCAUUUAGCUCACCUGAGCACAAAGUGCUCAAGGUGAGCUUUUGUGAUCGCCCUGUGUCCGUCCGUCGUCAGCAAUUUGACUGGUAACACUCUAGAGGUCACAAUUUUGACUUAAUCUUUAUGAAACUUGGUCAGAAUGUUACCCUCAAUAAAAUCUUGGACACAUUUGAUGGUGGGUCAUCUUGAGUCAAAAACUAGGUCACCAAGUCAAAUCAAAGGAAAAGCUUGUUAACACUGUAGUGGUCACAUUUAAGACUAUAUCUUCAUGAAAUUUGGUCAGAAUGAUAAUCUUGAUGAUUUCAAAAUCCAGUCUGAAUCUGGGUUAUGUAGGAUUAAACACUAGGUCACUAGGUCAAAUCAAAGGAAAAGCUAGUUUACACUCUAGAAGCCAAAUUUAUGACCAUAUUUUAAUGAAACUUGGUCAAAAUGUUAAUAUUAAUGAUCCAUAGAUCAGAUUCAAAUCUGGGUCAAGUGGGGUCAAAAACUAGGUCACCAGGUCAAAUCAAGGGAAAAGCUUGUUAACGCUCUAGAGGUCACAAUUUUGGCCCAAUCUAAAUGAAACUUGGUCAAAGUGUUACCCUCAAUAAAAUAUUGGACAAGUUUGAUAUUGGGUCGUCUAGGGUCAAAAACUAGGUAACCAGGUCAAAUCAAAGGAAAAGCUUGUUAACACUGUAGUGGCCACAUUUAUGACCAUAUCUUAAUGAAACUUUGUCAGAAUUUUAAUCUUGAUGAUCUAUAGGCCAAGUUAAAUCUAGGUCAGGUGGGAUUAAAGACUAGGUCGCUAGGUCAAAUCAAAGGAACAGCUUGUUAACACUCCAGAGGCCACAUUUAUGACUGCAUCUUCAUGAAACUUAAUCAGAAUGUUAAUCUUGAUGAUCUUUCAGUCAAGUUUGAAUCUGGGUCAUGUGGGGUCAAAAACUAAGUCACCAAGUCAAAUCAAAGGAAAAGCUAGUUAACUCUUUAGAGGCUACAUUUAUGAUCAUAUCUUAAUGUAACUUGGUCAGAAUGUUGAUCUUGAUGAUCUUUAUGUCAAUAUGUCAGGUGAGCGAUACAGGGCCAUCAUGGCCCUCUUGUUUAUUUGUUCUUGUUGUAAGAGAAAUUGUACGUUUUAGAAUACAGAUUACAGCAAGUCACAUUUUCUUUAUUUUGACAAUAUUUAUUUCAAAGCCUGACAAAAGCAUCCAGUACUGUUAUUAAAAGUUGUUAUUCACAGUUCGGCUAUAUUUCAUGUAUGGAUAAAACAAAUUAUGUGAUCUGUAAUCAUUAUAAAUGUGUAUACAGAUAAAACUUAAACAUGUGAAUAGUUUAUUCAAUAAAUAAAGUGUAAUGCAAGUCUUUGUGAUGUGUAUAUAAGCAAAAUUAGGAUUUGUUUUACGAGUAAUUUCAGAAUUACAAUUAACACAAAUAGAAAAAAACAAGCCUGCAGAAGAAGUCUUAAUAUGUCUCCCUAGACUGAGCUCUUAACCUGCCGUGGUGCAAAUAGAUUGUUAAUGUGUGUCUGUUAAGUCUUGUUAACAGUGAGUUGCAAUCUAGUAACUUUUAAGUUUGUAUGAUUUUUAGCUCACCUGAGCACAGUGUGAGCUGUUGUGAUCACCUUAAGUCUGUCAUUGUGCUUCUCAACAAUUUGCCUGUUAUUAAACACCCUAGUAGACAGUUCUUUUAAAUGUUAAA